UAUAUGUAUUAAUUUGGUUGAUGUAACUCUGCAUUUUUGCUUAGAUAGUAUAUAUAUAUAUAUAUACACACAGUUGUACGUAGUUGUAAAGCGUGCAGACAGUUUGGGCUAUAAUAUUACCAAUAUUUCUUUGUUUAUCAAUGUUGAUUUUAUGAAAGAACUGGAUCAAUUACUUUGCCAAGAUGUGUGAGCAAACAGAAAUCAACUAUCUGGAUGGAGAUGUUGUCUGGGUUAAACUGGGUGCAUGCUGGUGGCCUGGUCAGGUUACUGGAUUGCAUAAUUUGCCAGAGGAUAUACAGGUUGAGUUUCGAAAGAAGCCACUUAUAGCAGCUGUGAAAUUUUUUCAGGAAGAUACCUAUGAAUUUGUGAAAAAUUAUCAACAAAUCUAUAAAUAUAA